GACGUAGGGUGCGAGCGUUGUCCGGAAUCACUGGGCGUAAAGGGCGCGUAGGUGGCUUGGCAAGCGUGUGGUGAAAGCCCGGGGCUCAACCCCGGGUCUGCCGUGCGAACUGCUAUGGCUUGAGCACUGUAGAGGCAGGUAGAAUUCCGGGUGUAGCGGUGGAAUGUGUAGAGAUCCGGAAGAAUACCGGUGGCGAAGGCGGCCUGCUGGGCAGUGGCUGACACUGAGGCGCGACAGCGUGGGGAGCAAACGGG
rnacentral:rRNA from 1 species